rnacentral:rRNA from 1 species
CCCAAACCCCUGUGAACAUACCAUAUGUUGCCUCGGCGGAUCAGCCCGUCCUUCGGGACGGCCCGCCGCAGGACCCUAAACUCUGUUUUUAGUGGAACUUCUGAGUAAAAAAACAAAUAAAUCAAAACUUUCAACAACGGAUCUCUUGGUUCUGGCAUCGAUGAAGAACGCAGCAAAAUGCGAUAAGUAAUGUGAAUUGCAGAAUUCAGUGAAUCAUCGAAUCUUUGAACGCACAUUGCGCCCGCCAGUAUUCUGGCGGGCAUGCCUGUUCGAGCGUCAUUUCAACCCUCAAGCCCAGCUUGGUGUUGGGACUUGCGUUAAUUCGCAUUCCCCAAAUUGAUUGGCGGUCACGUCGAGCUUCCAUAGCGUAGUAAUUUACACAUCGUUACUGGUAAUCGUCGCGGCCACGCCGUUAAACCCCAACUUCUGAAUGUUGACCUCGGAUCAGGUAGGAAUACCCGCUGAACUUAAGCAUAUCAAUAAGCGGAGGAAAAGAAACCAACAGGGAUUGCCCUAGUAACGGCGAGUGAAGCGGCAACAGCUCAAAUUUGAAAUCUGGCUCUCGGGCCCGAGUUGUAAUUUGUAGAGGAUGACUUUGAUGCGGUGCCUUCCGAGUUCCCUGGAACGGGACGCCAUAGAGGGUGAGAGCCCCGUCUGGUUGGAUGCCAAAUCUCUGUAAGUCUCCUUCGACGAGUCGAGUAGUUUGGGAAUGCUGCUCUAAAUGGGAGGUAUAUGUCUUCUAAAGCUAAAUACCGGCCAGAGACCGAUAGCGCACAAGUAGAGUGAUCGAAAGAUGAAAAGCACUUUGAAAAGAGAGUUAAAAAGUACGUGAAAUUGUUGAAAGGGAAGCGUUUAUGACCAGACUUGGGCUUGGUUAAUCAUCUGGGGUUCUCCCCAGUGCACUUUUCCAGUCCAGGCCAGCAUCAGUUUUCGCCGGGGGAUAAAGGCUUCGGGAAUGUGGCUCCCCUCGGGGAGUGUUAUAGCCCGUUGUGUAAUACCCUGGCGGGGA